AAUAAGUGCAGUCGUGGAUAUCCGUGCCCAAUGUUUAACCGUCCGUCUUAUUUGAAAAAUUUAUGAAAAAAUUGAAAAUAUUUAGUCACAUAUAAAGUACUAUUCAUGUUUAUCAUCUAAUAGCAAUAAAAAUACUAAUUAUAAAAAAAUUCAAAUAAGACGAACGGUCAAACGUUAAACGUGAAUAGUGCAAAACUGCACUUAUU
rnacentral:pre_miRNA from 1 species